rnacentral:lncRNA from 1 species
AUCAGGUUAUUUUCUGCUGUUUAGGACUUGAAAGGCAGCCCUUUGGGACCAGCGAAAACAUGGUCCUCAGCGCAUGCUCUGCUUUCUGGUAGAUCUCGUACAGCCGCUUCAGGAGAUUCUGUGAUGUUUCACAUACGCUGGAUAUUUAAGUAGAAGUGAAGCCUUCUGAAGGCUGACGAUGAUGCUGAUUAGUCUCCUGCAAAGACCGUGUGUGACGCAAGCAUCCCAGGAAUCACACGACAGGGGAAGAUGUACCCUAAAGCUCUUUACAUUUCUGGCCUUCUUAUAAGACAAUUAACCUACGGAGGAACGUGUUAACGUGUUAUACCUUUCAGUGCUGAUGAAUAGAAGAUGUUCUUUCCAGUCCUCCAUUUACAUAUGGGCGCAGCCAAUCAGAGCUGUUUCUGAGACUCCAUUUAUAUCUAGAGCUCGGGACCUCGCUGGCACUGAGAAUGGCUUCAGUUCACUUUGGAGAGCUCUGGUCCUCACUUUGAGCAUAGCUGCCUGGUUCUGGAGGGGAAGAUGGUGCACUGCCGGCCUCCUGGAAAAGCUUGCUGCAUUGGCUUCCCUGAUGGGAACUCAGCCAUCCUGAUCAUCGGAGGAGCUCGGGACCUCACUGUUGUCAAGGAUGGCUGUGGUACCAUUUGGGGAAGCUCUGGUUCUUCUGAGCAUCACUUCCUGGCUCCAGUGCAGAUCCCUCAGCCUGCUAGCACAGAUCCUUCAUCCUGCUGGCACAGACUUUGUAGAUUCCACCACUGACCUUUGGACCUUCCCAGGAGAUCCGUGAAACAGGUCUGCAUGAGAUGUUGUCAUGGGCUCUGGGCCUCCAGUUGGAUUCAUGGGAGGCAUUGUUAUGAGCUCUGAGUAUUCAGCUCAACUCAUGUAGGACAUUGUUGUGGGAUCCAGGCCCUCAGCUGGAUUCCUUGGUCUUAGUGUGUGGACAGAUUCCCUGCACUCUUUUGUAUACUGUUCUUGGGUGACUUAUAAAUAAUCAUACAAAGUAUGUGUCCUAUAUUAUGUUGUUCCCCUUGCAAGAUAAGCCACCCCAAACCAACACACCACCGCAUAAAA